rnacentral:rRNA from 1 species
UACGGGGGGGAGCAAGCGUUGUUCGGAUUUACUGGGCGUAAAGGGCGCGUAGGCGGUAGCACAAGUCAGUUGUGAAAUCUCCGGGCUUAACUCGGAAAGGUCAACUGAUACUGUGCGACUAGAGUGCAGAAGGGGCAACUGGAAUUCUCGGUGUAGCGGUGAAAUGCGUAGAUAUCGAGAGGAACACCUGCGGCGAAGGCGGGUUGCUGGGCUGACACUGACGCUGAGGCGCGAAAGCCAGGGGAGCGAACGGGG